CAGCACCUCAAGUGGUCAGGAUGAUUAUUGGGCCUAAAGCAUCCGUAGCCGGCUCUGUAAGUUUUCGGUUAAAUCUGUACGCUCAACGUACAGGCUGCCGGGAAUACUGCAGAGCUAGGGAGUGGGAGAGGUAGACGGUACUCGGUAGGAAGGGGUAAAAUCCUUUGAUCUAUUGAUGACCACCUGUGGCGAGGGCGGUCUACCAGAACACGUCCGACGGUGAGGGAUGAAAGCUGGGGGAGCAAACCGGAUUAGAUACCCGAGUAGUCC
rnacentral:rRNA from 1 species